rnacentral:lncRNA from 1 species
UGAAUAUCCUUCAGCUCACUUCAGGAGGUAACCAGAGCCACGCUUGGCAGUCAAGAUUUCAUCUUUGGAAUUGCUAAUCAGUGUAGCCUAUGACAAAUGGGCUCUGGAUGCCAGCACUCAUAGGCUGAUUUACAUGUGCGUGGAGGUCCCAUCAGAUUCCAAGGGGUGACUCCUACUUCUGUUUGUGCUGCUGAAGAAAAGGAUACAGGAGUGAACAAUUGCCUUUCCCCAGGGUCCGGCUGCAGAGGGGGAAUUGUUCAAGUUCACAAGAAGGAUCGGACCUGGAACCUUCACGACAAAGUGGGAUGUCCGUCGAGACUUGAAGGAAGCCAGGGGAACCAGAAGGCAGAGAAGAGCAGGGAGAGUGCACCAGGCAUAGAGGACAGACAAUGUGAAGGCAUGGAGUCUAGAAAUGGCAUUGCUUUUUAGCCACUAAAAUAUUUUACAUUUUAAAAUAU